ACAAAAUGGCGACACGUGGUUAGCAUUCGUCGCCAACGAGAAAUUGGGGUCGGCCCGAAAGCUCUAGAAUGCACCCCUCUUCCUCCCCGGGGCCUUCCACCUCCGCGAGUUUUAUGACUUAAAAAAGCCCACAGGCUGGUCUGAAGAGGAAGACAAACAUAAAGAUGAAGUGCUUAAUUCAAGGUCACACAAUGUCGGGGAUGGACCUCCAGAUUUCCUUACUGACCUGCAUUAUCUUGUGGAUACCUGAGUGAAUUCCACACCACCCAUUUUAUAGAUGAAACCACUGAGACAUGGAGCAAUUGACUGAGUAGUCACUGCCCCACCCCUGCCUGGAGCCUCACACAUGACUCGCCUCCUCUCAGUGACCACAGGUGAGACGUGGUCUUGUAACACAGUGGUUAAGAAUGUGACUUUGGAGCCAGCCUGCUAGGGGCUGAAUUCUGACUCAGCCAUUUACUAACUGUGUGACCUUAGGGAGGAGGACCUGGUUGAUAGAAGAAUUUAUCUCGUAGUCUUAACAUCCACUGUAAUUCCAAACUUUGAGGACGAUAGAGAUCAGUGGGCUUUGACUGCCCAGCAUGCAGUCU
rnacentral:lncRNA from 1 species